rnacentral:rRNA from 1 species
GAUGAACGCUGGCGGCGUGCCUAAUACAUGCAAGUCGAGCGAACAGAUAAGGAGCUUGCUCCUUUGACGUUAGCGGCGGACGGGUGAGUAACACGUGGGUAACCUACCUAUAAGACUGGAAUAACUCCGGGAAACCGGGGCUAAUGCCGGAUAACAUUUAGAACCGCAUGGUUCUAAAGUGAAAGAUGGUUUUGCUAUCACUUAUAGAUGGACCCGCGCCGUAUUAGCUAGUUGGUAAGGUAACGGCUUACCAAGGCAACGAUACGUAGCCGACCUGAGAGGGUGAUCGGCCACACGGGAACUGGGACACGGUCCAGACUCCUACGGGAGGCAGCAGUAGGGAAUCUUCGGCAAUGGGCGAAAGCCUGACGGAGCAACGCCGCGUGAGUGAUGAAGGUCUUCGGAUCGUAAAACUCUGUUAUUAGGGAAGAACAAAUGUGUAAGUAACUGUGCACGUCUUGACGGUACCUAAUCAGAAAGCCACGGCUAACUACGUG